rnacentral:misc_RNA from 1 species
UUUGCCAAGGAGAGUUUUUCACCUAAUUACCAUGUUAACUGUCAGCUUGCAUGGAGGCCAACAGAAAAUCUCUUUGAUUGUAAGACAGAGACACAAAACAACAUAAAUAGACGUAAUAUGCACAAUCAGAUGAAUGAAACCAUCUGCAUACUGAAAUACAAGUCAAUAAAUAUGACUAAACUAGUGGCAUAAAUUAGAACUGUGAUUUUCAUUUGAUAAAAGGACAAGGUUUGAUGGUUGUCAUUUUUUACCAACUUGGCUGUAAGGAAUAGGCAUGAAGUAUAAAUUUAGUUACAGUAAAGAGCCCAAAUCAAUACAUUUAUGCAAAGGAAAACAUAUAUAAUACAACUAUUUUAUGAGAAGGUUUCAAUUGCAUCGAAUGAGAAGUGGCCAUGCUUAAGCCUUCUCUAUUUAAGUUCAUUGAAAAAGGAAUGGAGAACCCAGUUUUGCUUUUCAGAAGAGGCUCUACUUCAAUUAUGUAAUUGCAGAAGGAAUGAGCAAAGUCAAGUAAGUAUUAAACAAUUAUGCAUCAAAAAUCAACUUGAACAAGUCUUCCGGAAUAAUCUACACUGGAUCAAAUUUGCUGGGCAUUUGAGCAUACCAUCAUCUCUGUUUGCAUAUUAACAUAAUUGAACAAAAAAAAAAACACCGA